CAGCGUGGGUUUCCUCCAGGUGCUCUGACAUGUUCUCCCUGUGUCAGCGUGGGUUUCCUCCAGGUGCUCUGACAUGUUCUCCCUGUGUCAGCAUGGGUUUCCUCCAGGUGCUCUGACAUGUUCUCCCUGUGUCAGCAUGGGUUUCCUCCAGGUGCUCUGACAUGUUCUCCCUGUGUCAGCAUGGGUUUCCUCCAGGUGCUCUGACAUGUUCUCCCUGUGUCAGCGUGGGUUUCCUCCAGGUGCUCUGACAUGUUCUCCCUGUGUCAGCGUGGGUUUCCUCCAGGUGCUCUGACAUGUUCUCCCUGUGUCAGCAUGGGUUUCCUCCAGGUGCUCUGACAUGUUCUCCCUGUGUCAGCGUGGGUUUCCUCCAGGUGCUCUGACAUGUUCUCCCUGUGUCAGCAUGGGUUUCCUCCAGGUGCUCUGACAUGUUCUCCCUGUGUCAGCGUGGGUUUCCUCCAGGUGCUCUGACAUGUUCUCCCUGUGUCAGCGUGGGUUUCCUCCAGGU